UACAGAGGUCCCGAGCGUUGUUCGGAUUCACUGGGCGUAAAGGGCGCGUAGGCGGCCUGAUAAGUAGGGGGCGAAAUCCUGCGGCUUAACCGCAGGGCUGCCUUCUAAACUGUCAGGCUCGAGCACAGUAGAGGCAGGUGGAAUUCCCGGUGUAGCGGUGGAAUGCGUAGAGAUCGGGAAGAACAUCAGUGGCGAAGGCGGCCUGCUGGGCUGUUGCUGACGCUGAGGCGCGACAGCGUGGGGAGCAAACAGG
rnacentral:rRNA from 1 species